rnacentral:rRNA from 1 species
AACGAACGCUGGCGGCGUGCCUAAUACAUGCAAGUCGAGCGAAUGGAUUAAGAGCUUGCUCUUAUGAAGUUAGCGGCGGACGGGUGAGUAACACGUGGGUAACCUGCCCAUAAGACUGGGAUAACUCCGGGAAACCGGGGCUAAUACCGGAUAAUAUUUUGAACUGCAUGGUUCAAAAUUGAAAGGCGGCUUCGGCUGUCACUUAUGGAUGGACCCGCGUCGCAUUAGCUAGUUGGUGAGGUAACGGCUCACCAAGGCAACGAUGCGUAGCCGACCGGGGAGGGUGAUCGGCCACACUGGGACUGAGACACGGCCCAGACUCCUACGGGAGGCAGCAGUAGGGAAUCUUCCGCAAUGGACGAAAGUCUGACGGAGCAACGCCGCGUGAGUGAUGAAGGCUUUCGGGUCGUAAAACUCUGUUGUUAGGGAAGAACAAGUGCUAGUUGAAUAAGCUGGCACCUUGACGGUACCUAACCAGAAAGCCACGGCUAACUACGUGCCAGCCGCCGCAGUAA